rnacentral:rRNA from 1 species
UACGGAGGGGGCUAGCGUUGCUCGGAAUUACUGGGCGUAAAGCGCACGUAGGCGGCUUUGCAAGUUAGAGGUGAAAGCCCGGGGCUCAACUCCGGAAUUGCCUUUAAAACUGCAUCGCUAGAAUUGUGGAGAGGUAAGUGGAAUUCCGAGUGUAGAGGUGAAAUUCGUAGAUAUUCGGAAGAACACCAGUGGCGAAGGCGACUUACUGGACACAUAUUGACGCUGAGGUGCGAAAGCGUGGGGAGCAAACAGG